rnacentral:misc_RNA from 1 species
CCAAUAGCGUAUAUUAAAGUUGUUGCAGUUAAAAAGCUCGUAGUUGAACUUCGGGGUUUACCCAUUGGUCAGGCUUAAUUGUCUGUACUGGUGAGAUAAAUCUCUACCUUCUGAGGAACUUUCAUGUCAUUAAUUUGGUGUGAUUGGAAAUCAGGACUGUUACUUUGAAAAAAUUAGAGUGUUUAAAGCAGGCUAACGUCUGAAUACAUUAGCAUGGAAUAAUGAAAUAGGACGGACUGAUUCUAUUUCGUUGGUUUCUAGGAUCACCGUAAUGAUUAAUAGGGAUAGUUGGGGGCAUUAGUAUUCAAUUGUCAGAGGUGAAAUUCUUGGAUUUAUUGAAGACUAACUACUGCGAAAGCAUUUGCCAAGGAUGUUUUCAUUAAUCAAGAACGAAAGUUAGGGGAUCGAAGACGAUCAGAUACCGUCGUAGUCUUAACCAUAAACUAUGCCGACUAGGGAUCGGACGAAGUUAAUUUUAUAAUGACGCGUUCGGCACCUUAC